CUAUAUAUACCCUGUAGAACCGAAUUUGUGUGAUAAUCAUAUAGUCACAGAUUCGAUUCUAGGGGAAUAUAUGGU
rfam:Eurypyga helias contig54246, whole genome shotgun sequence.